GGCCAUAUUGAAAUUGGGUGACAACAUAGAGGGACAGUUUUGAUAUUUGUCCAAGAAAAAACUACACCAAAAAAGAACGGCAAAAUUAUGAUUUUAACCACUAUACUUGGCACGUUUUACUUAAUACACCACUGAACUUUUAAUUUUUUGGAUUAACCCAUUAAAUUAAUUAAAAAAUUUUAAUUGGGUCAUUCCGUCCAAAAUAGUUGACAGAAGUUAAAGUGGCGCUGACGUGGCGCUGAUGUGGCAAAAAAAUAAAAAAAAUGGUUAUGUGACAAAAAAAAUCAAAAACAGAUUUUUUUAAAAAAAAAUUAACAUUUUAAAGUUUUAAAAAUAACAAAAACAUAAUAAAAAAAAAAUAAAAAUAUGUUUUUUAAAAA
rnacentral:lncRNA from 1 species